UUUGUUGGAGAAGAUCCUCGAGCCGAGAUCGGUGAGGGGCCAGAGUAAGGGUUUUUAUGUCUCUUUAGCAACAUUUGAAGUGAGCAUCACCCAAAAUUUUCACUGCAUAUAAGAUUGUAUACCACUGAGUAAAGGCAUAACCCCAUUCUGAAACCCUCUCCAUCUAAUCUUCAGCUCACAAUUUCAGUUCAAAGGACUUGUCCCAAUUGUGGCUGGUUCAGGUACAAGGAGAUGAUUUAAUUAAGCAAAGAGAGCUAUAGUACAUGAAACUACUUGAGCAAUGAUGCAUUGGUGGUGUGUGAGGGAGUUACUUGAUCAUAUGGAGCAAAUCAAGGAUAUGAUAGCUAAGCUAGAAGAUAAUAGAGCUGGAGAACGGGUUGCUGUAGAUACGAGGAAGAAAAAUCCUGCUGACUUUGCUAUGUGGAAGGCUGCAAAGCCUGGGGAGCCACAAUGGGACAGCCCCUGGGGUCCUGGAAGACCAGGAUGGCACAUUGAAUGCAGUGCCAUGAGUGCAAGAUUAGAAUACAAAUUCUGUUUGGAACUGUAAAUUUUGAAUGCAAGAUUGGAACUGCAGUGAAGCGGGAGGAAAGUUGCAAUGGUGCGGAAGGAAGCGGCUAAGAGGGAGCAACAAAUGGAAGAGCGAAUGAUGCGGCUUUUUGAUGAAAAACUCGGACAAAUGAAAAAUGUGUAGUUUAGUUUGAUUUUGUUAGAUAAUUUUAUAUUUUGUAAAACAAUCUUACUUAUUUAAUGUUAUUUGAAUUUUGCUUA